GCAGUCGAGGGGUAGAGGAAGCUUGCUUCCUUGAGACCGGCGCACGGGUGCGUAACGCGUAUGCAAUCUACCUUGUACAGGGGGAUAGCCCAGAGAAAUUUGGAUUAAUACCCCAUAGUAUUAUUGAAAUGGCAUCAUUUAAUUAUUAAAGUUCCAACGGUACAAGAUGAGCAUGCGUCCUAUUAGCUAGUUGGUGUGGUAACGGCACACCAAGGCUACGAUAGGUAGGGGUCCUGAGAGGGAGAUCCCCCACACUGGUACUGAGACACGGACCAGACUCCUACGGGAGGCAGCAGUGAGGAAUAUUGGACAAUGGGCGCAAGCCUGAUCCAGCCAUGCCGCGUGCAGGAAGAAGCAUCUAUGGUGUGUAAACUGCUUUUGUACGGGAAGAAACACUGCUACGUGUAGCAGCUUGACGGUACCGUAAGAAUAAGGAUCGGCUAACUCCGUGCCAGCAGCCGCGGUAAUACGGAGGAUCCAAGCGUUAUCCGGAAUCAUUGGGUUUAAAGGGUCCGUAGGCGGUCUAAUAAGUCAGUGGUGAAAGCCCAUCGCUCAACGAUGGAACGGCCAUUGAUACUGUUAGACUUGAAUUAUUGGGAAGUAACUAGAAUAUGUAGUGUAGCGGUGAAAUGCUUAGAUAUUACAUGGAAUACCAAUUGCGAAGGCAGGUUACUAUCAAUAUAUUGACGCUGAUGGACGAAAGCGUGGGGAGCGAACAGGAUUAGAUACCCUGGUAGUCCACGCCGUANACGAUGGAUACUAGCUGUUCGGAGCAAUCUGAGUGGCUAAGCGAAAGUGAUAAGUAUCCCACCUGGGGAGUACGUUCGCAAGAAUGAAACUCAAAGGAAUUGACGGGGGCCCGCACAAGCGGUGGAGCAUGUGGUUUAAUUCGAUG
rnacentral:rRNA from 1 species